rnacentral:misc_RNA from 1 species
GAUGAAGAACGCAGCGAAAUGCGAUACUUGGUGUGAAUUGCAGAAUCCCGUGAACCAUCGAGUCUUUGAACGCAAGUUGCGCCCGAAGCCAUUAGGCCGAGGGCACGCCUGCCUGGGUGUCACACGUCGUUGCCCCCCCAUCUACUCCUUCGGGAUUGCGGGGGGCGGAUGAUGGCCUCCCGUGCGCCUCGUCGCGCGGUUGGCAUAAAUGCCAAGUCCUCGGCGACGCACGCCACGACAAUCGGUGGUUGCGAAACCUCGGUUGCCCGUCGUGUGCGGUCGUCGCGCAACGAGGGCUCGAAAAAAUUGUCGGGCUCCGGCUCGGCUUUCAACGCGACCCCAGGUCAGGCGGGGUUACCCGCUGAAUUUAAGCAUAUCAAUAAGCGGAGGA